rnacentral:lncRNA from 1 species
UUGGAAGCAAGGACAGGGAUAGGAAGAGCUUCUAAACAGUUGCAGGCAGGGGCAGUGGAACAGAAAUAAAUAUUACAUAAGUGACAUGUUGGUGACUUUACUUUUGUGAAAUAGCAACUAAUGACUAGGUCAGGAAGAGCGUGUGCAUUCAAACUUGUUCAUUCAUUAAUUUGAGUUGAAGGGAGGGGGACGUCCUUGGUGGAAAAGUUAAAGAAAGUGCUCUGGAUGAGAAAUUCACAGGGUAAGAUGUUAAUAGCAAUGGGGAAAAAAAAUAACACUUCUCCAGUGCCAGGCAAAUGGCCAUAUCCAUCAGGAGUGAAGAAAGAGACAUAAGACAACAGCUCAGAGUGGAAGAAAUAGAUGUUCUCAGGAAGAGGCUGUAUGCUGUCCU